rnacentral:rRNA from 1 species
GAUGAACGCUGGCGGCGUGCUUAACACAUGCAAGUCGAACGAUGAAGCCAAGCUUGCUGGGUGGAUUAGUGGCGAACGGGUGAGUAACACGUGAGUAACCUGCCCUUAACUCUGGGAUAAGCCUGGGAAACUGGGUCUAAUACCGGAUAGGAGCGUCCACCGCAUGGUGGGUGUUGGAAAGAUUUAUCGGUUUUGGAUGGACUCGCGGCCUAUCAGCUUGUUGGUGAGGUAAUGGCUCACCAAGGCGACGACGGGUAGCCGGCCUGAGAGGGUGACCGGCCACACUGGGACUGAGACACGGCCCAGACUCCUACGGGAGGCAGCAGUGGGGAAUAUUGCACAAUGGGCGAAAGCCUGAUGCAGCGACGCCGCGUGAGGGAUGACGGCCUUCGGGUUGUAAACCUCUUUCAGUAGGGAAGAAGCGAAAGUGACGGUACCUGCAGAAGAAGCACCGGCUAACUACGUG